rnacentral:rRNA from 1 species
UGCACAAUGGGCGCAAGCCUGAUGCAGCCAUGCCGCGUGUAUGAAGAAGGCCUUCGGGUUGUAAAGUACUUUCAGCGGGGAGGAAGGCGGUGCGGUUAAUAACCGCGCCGAUUGACGUUACCCGCAGAAGAAGCACCGGCUAACUCCGUGCCAGCAGCCGCGGUAAUACGGAGGGUGCAAGCGUUAAUCGGAAUUACUGGGCGUAAAGCGCACGCAGGCGGUCUGUUAAGUCAGAUGUGAAAUCCCCGGGCUUAACC